rnacentral:lncRNA from 1 species
CAGCUCUGAAGAAUGCAACAUGAGAAAUACCUCGAUGAAGUCAGAUCCUGUCAUUAUUUAUAGCCCAUCUUCGUCAAGCCUGAUGGAACAAAAGCUCACGUUUUCAUGGUUGUCCUGGACAACAUUUCCAACACAGCCAUUUACAGCCCUAAGAAGCACGCUUAGCCUUUGGCAACGCCAGGAAAUCAAAGUUGCAGCCAUCUUUUUACCCCCAACAUACAAAUAUCAAGACAGAGAAGAAUGAUUCCAAACCUUGUUGCUAAGAUGGCAGUAAAAUAAGAGACUACCACGUUUUUACUAUGGAAAAAAAAUGAACAAAAUUGGGCAACUCAGAAUAUCUGCAGGAAACAAAAGGAAGAAAAGGUUCACAAAAUACACCAUGACAAGAAAGAUGCUUUAGGAUUCAGAUGAAAGGUCAAUUAUUUCAAAGGACUUGAAGGGCUGAUGUUUUCUGGAUAAUUGAAUCCAGAUUAAAGCAGAACACCAAUGCAGCAUUCAAGAAAACUUCUUAUUUCAUCUACUUUUUUUUCCUUAAAAUAUUUCUUUCUCAAACAGGUGAGUCGAUCUCUCUGAUGCAGCA